GACGAACGCUGGCGGCGUGCUUAACACAUGCAAGUCGAACGGAAAGGCCCUGCUUUUGUGGGGUGCUCGAGUGGCGAACGGGUGAGUAACACGUGAGUAACCUGCCCUUGACUUUGGGAUAACUUCAGGAAACUGGGGCUAAUACCGGAUAGGAGCUCCUGCUGCAUGGUGGGGGUUGGAAAGUUUCGGCGGUUGGGGAUGGACUCGCGGCUUAUCAGCUUGUUGGUGGGGUAGUGGCUUACCAAGGCUUUGACGGGUAGCCGGCCUGAGAGGGUGACCGGCCACAUUGGGACUGAGAUACGGCCCAGACUCCUACGGGAGGCAGCAGUGGGGAAUAUUGCACAGUGGGCGGAAGCCAUAUGCAGCAACGCCGCGUGCGGGAUGACGGCCUUCGGGUUGUAAACCGCUUUCGCCUGUGACGAAGCGUGAGUGACGGUAAUGGGUAAAGAAGCACCGGCUAACUACGUG
rnacentral:rRNA from 1 species